GAUAGUGUACGAAGUGUGAUGUGUGGACAGUGGAGUUAGCCCCGCAGAGCUCAAUAAUGAACUGAUUGUACGUGUCGGCGACUAAUUCAAUCCAGCUAUCAAAAAAAUAAUAUAAUUAACCGAUUAGUGAUAUUGGCAGCCGCUCGGUUUCAGGUUAAACGCAAAUCGAAAGUUUCGCCCAUAACAAAAACAUUAAGUUUUCCAUACCUGAUGCGCUCAGCUUCUGGUUUCCCGACUUGUUGUUUGUGUGUGUUGAGUCCAUAUCUUGGUCCAGGAGUAUCGGCGUAAAUGUCCACCCUGGCUAGCCUAGCCACCAGACCGAGCUCCUGAUUGGCCACACAGCCCUAGGCGUAUGCAGUUCCAGCAUGGCUUGGGGUCCUCGGUUCACCCCCCGCCAGAUCCGCUUGUACGUAAAACAUGAGAAGCAGGGAAACAUAUCCUCGUCAGUUGAAAAAGCCUACACUCUACCAGGUCCUACACACUCCUAUCCGAUGACUUUUUCCAGCGGCCGCGUCAAUGAGAUAUUCGGGAACUUAUCUUAUAAUCAGACAAGAUGUGAACAUUGCUUUCUUUGAAGUCAGUUAUUGUCCCAAAGCGCAUUAUCCAGGCUACGCAAAAUACCGAAACAUUGAAUGCCUACAAAUGGAAUCGUUGUCGUUGACUUAGGACCCCACAAUUCU